UCUUGACUAGUAUAUCUGUUCAGUACACCCGCUUGUCAUCGAAAAGGAUACACUGUGGUCCGCGGGAGAGCAGGGUUCGACUCCCUGGUCGAGAG